rnacentral:rRNA from 1 species
CGGUGGAGCAUGUGGUUUAAUUCGACGCAACGCGAAGAACCUUACCUGGGUUUGACAUCCCGAUCGUACUCUAUGGAAACAUAGGGUCAGUUCGGCUGGAUCGGUGACAGGUGCUGCAUGGCUGUCGUCAGCUCGUGUCGUGAGAUGUUGGGUUAAGUCCCGCAACGAGCGCAACCCUUGUCCUUAGUUGCCACCAUUCAGUUGGGCACUCUAAGGAGACUGCCGGUGUUAAACCGGAGGAAGGUGGGGAUGACGUCAAGUCCUCAUGGCCCUUAUAUCCAGGGCUACACACGUGCUACAAUGGCCGGUACAAAGGGUCGCAAUACCGCGAGGUGGAGCUAAUCCCAAAAAGCCGGUCUCAGUUCGGAUUGGAGUCUGCAACUCGACUCCAUGAAGUCGGAAUCGCUAGUAAUCGUGGAUCAGCAUGUCACGGUGAAUACGUUCCCGGGUCUU